UGAAGGAAAGAGGGGAGGGCAAGGCUGUGAAUGCAGCAGGAGAAUGUAGCUGAUAAGUGUGAAAGGGUCCUGCGGGAGGGCUGGUCAUCCCUGUAGCCUCAGGGCUGUCAGGCCAGGAUUUGGCGCAAGCCUCUGGACUGGGUAACGUCCACGGUGGUGCCUGAAAAGUGUGCUAGUCUACCUGAGAUGGGACGGCAGCUGGUUGGAGAUGACACUACAGGGAGAGGAGACAAAUGGGAAACAAACACAGACCACAUAAAUAGAGUGUUGCAAACAAACUGGAGCACACAGAGCACGUACUCACCAAUAAAGAGCUGUGUAGCAAAAAA